rnacentral:hammerhead_ribozyme from 1 species
AUCCAGCUGACGAGUCCAAAAUAGGACUAAACGCGCGUCCUGAAU